rnacentral:rRNA from 1 species
AACGUACGCUGGCGGCACGCCUAACACAUGCAAGUCGAACGAAGUAGCAAUACUUAGUGGCAGACGGGUGAGUAACAUGUAGGUAUCUGCCCUUUGGCCUGGAAUAACACGAGGAAACUUGUGCUAAUACCGGAUAAGUCUUUACAGAGAAAGCUUUAUGCACCAUUGGAUGAGCCUGCACUUGAUUAGUUUGUUGGUAGGGUAAUGGCCUACCAAGACUGUGAUCAAUAGCUGAUUUGAGAGGAUGAUCAGCCACAUUGGGACUGAGACACGGCCCAAACUCCUACGGGAGGCAGCAGUGGGGAAUCUUGCACAAUGGAGGAAACUCUGAUGCAGCGAUGCCGCGUGAGUGAAGAAGGCCCUUGGGUUGUAAAGCUCUUUCGUCGGGGAAGAAAAUGACUGUACCCGAAUAAGAAGGUCCGGCUAACUUCGUGCCAGCAGCCGCGGUAAUACGAAGGGACCUAGCGUAGUUCGGAAUUACUGGGCUUAAAGAGUUCGUAGGUGGUUGAAAAAGUUAGUGGUGAAAUCCCAGAGCUUAACUCUGGAACUGCCAUUAAAACUUUUCAGCUAGAGUAUGAUAGAGGAAAGCAGAAUUUCUAGUGUAGAGGUGAAAUUCGUAGAUAUUAGAAAGAAUACCAAUUGCGAAGGCAGCUUUCUGGAUCAUUACUGACACUGA